rnacentral:rRNA from 1 species
UUGAAAGGGAAACGAUUGAAGCCAGUCGUACCUUCGGGUAAUCAGCCUUUUGGGUGUGAUUUUGUGGAGUGUGAAGAGUUAAACGCCUUCAUGCCUGCAUAUUCGUGCACUUUGGGUGUACUUGCCCGUGUGGUUGGUUAACAUCAAUUUUGGUGGUCAUAAAAUGACUGGAGGAAUGUAGCUUCGAUCUCGUAUUGAAGUGUUAUAGCCUUCGGUAGAUGUGAUGAUCGAGAUUGAGGAUUGCAACGGAUACCCUUCGGGGCUACCUGUCUGGUCUCUGAUCGUUGCUCUGGUGCCGAAAGCGUGCUUACGGUUAUCAAAGUCGAUGGUCAAUAGGUUAGAACGGGUUAAAUUCGUUAAGGAUGUUGACGUA